rnacentral:rRNA from 1 species
UACACUCCUACGGGAGGCAGCAGUGGGGAAUUUUGGACAAUGGGCGAAAGCCUGAUCCAGCAAUGCCGCGUGAGUGAAGAAGGCCUUCGGGUUGUAAAGCUCUUUUGUCAGGGAAGAAACGGUGAAAGCUAAUAUCUUUUGCUAAUGACGGUACCUGAAGAAUAAGCACCGGCUAACUACGUGCCAGCAGCCGCGGUAAUACGUAGGGUGCAAGCGUUAAUCGGAAUUACUGGGCGUAAAGCGUGCGCAGGCGGUUUUGUAAGUCUGAUGUGAAAUCCCCGGGCUCAACCUGGGAAUUGCAUUGGAGACUGCAAGGCUAGAAUCUGGCAGAGGGGGGUAGAAUUCCACGUGUAGCAGUGAAAUGCGUAGAUAUGUGGAGGAACACCGAUGGCGAAGGCAGCCCCCUGGGUCAAGAUUGACGCUCAUGCACGAAAGCGUGGGGAGCAAACAGGAUUAGAUACCCCGGUAGUCC